rnacentral:rRNA from 1 species
AACGAACGCUGGCGGCAUGCCUAACACAUGCAAGUCGAACGAGACCUUCGGGUCUAGUGGCGCACGGGUGCGUAACGCGUGGGAAUCUGCCCUUGGGUUCGGAAUAACUUCGGGAAACUGAAGCUAAUACCGGAUGAUGACGUAAGUCCAAAGAUUUAUCGCCCAAGGAUGAGCCCGCGUAGGAUUAGCUAGUUGGUGAGGUAAAAGGCUCACCAAGGCGACGAUCCUUAGCUGGUCUGAGAGGAUGAUCAGCCACACUGGGACUGAGACACGGCCCAGACUCCUACGGGAGGCAGCAGUGGGAAUAUUGGACAAUGGG